rnacentral:rRNA from 1 species
UCAAGAAACUUCCGCAAUGGGCGAAAGCCUGAUGGAGCGACGUCGCGUGAUGGACGAAGUGCUUCGGCACGUAAACAUCUUUUAUGUGGGAUGAAAUUAUUGACAGUACCACAUGAAUAAGGGGCUCCUAACUCUGUGCCAGCAGGAGCGGUAAUACAGAGGCCCCAAGCGUUAUCCGGAAUCACUGGGCGUAAAGGGUGUCGAGGCGGUUGUAUUAGUCGUUCGUAAAAUCUACGAGCUUAACUUGUAGGCGGCGAACGAAACGGUACGACUUGAGGUUUGGAGAGGUGCGUGGAACUCACGGUGUAGGGGUGAAAUCCGUUGAUAUCGUGGGGAGCACCAAAGGCGAAGGCAGCGCACUGGCCAAAAUCUGACGCUCACACACGAAAGCUAGGGUAGCGAAGAGGAUUAGAUACCCUCGUAGUCCCUGAGCGGGC